AAUCCCCUGCAAACAGAGUCUGGAAACCAAGCAACAUCCACCAGUCAGACGAGACAGAGAAUCCGGCAGCAAUAGCAGUAGAAGAGUAAUUAUGGUUUUAUAAUCAGUAAAUGAGAAAGAUCCCAACUAUCAUCUGCCAAGCCCUGGGGCAGUGUGAAACAAAACAAGAAAGAUAUUAUUUUAGCAAUUGCUUCCCAUGUAAAUGCACAGAAAGGAGUUUUCAUUGAGUUUGUUGGAAAACAGCCUCUUCUGCUGAGAGGAAACCAAUGCAGGAAAGGAAAUGCACUAGAAGUUGGAUUUGUUAAUAGCUUUCUCUGGCCUGUUAUGAAACACUUCAAAUUUGGAAACAAUUUUCUCAGCACACCUGUUGAGGGGAGAAACAAGGCUCCUUCAACCAUCAAUCUGUGGGACCUCAGAGCUCAGCCUGAAAGCAAAGGCGAAACGAAAUACGAAAAUUGCAGUGCAGCAGAAGAGGAGUCAGCUGUCUGCGGGCCUCUGCUGAAAUCCCAUCUUUCGGCACUAAAACCUGAAACUUGGCUGAACUUGAGAUUCAUGAGAGCUCUCAGCUGCAGUUAUUCUGCUGUGCACUGCUCCUUCUUCUUCCACAGUGGAGGUGUCAAGUGUUUUGGGCACUGAUUGCAGUGAUGAUGCUGCAGGGAUCCGAAGGUGCUGUAUUCUGCUGUGAAAGGGUGAUGUGCUCGGCGAACACUGCCUUUGUGACUGAAAUGUUCUGGUGUUACACAGCACCCCUUCAAAGCCAAUCACGUGAAAUCAGUGGAGGUACUUUAUUUCAGACGGAAAUAAAGUGGAGGUACUUUAUUUCUGUUGUAAGCUGUAUGUGAUGUGUGGCUAUGUUUCUAAAAUCUCAGGCUUCAAAAAUUGAUGAAGUAUUGGGGCUUUAUUGAGCCUCUCUUUGCAAGCUUAGGCUGUAAAUACUUUUUAUAGCAAUUACAGAAUUCGGCUCGAAAGUACAAUAUAUCUUGAAGGCAUUCCCAGGAAAUACCCAGGGAAAUGGUGCAUAUCUCACGUUUACCCACGGUGUGCCCAGCUCCCCAAAGCGUUUGUAGCUGCUGUGCUGCAAACCUGAAGCGGAGGAGCACAUUUACAUUUCGCAAAUGACCCUGUAAAUGCCCCAUUAAUUCCAUGUACCUGGUUAGUGGAGGAGGGAAGAGAACGGGUUUGGUGACAUUUGAAGGCGGAGGCAGAGCCGAGCUCUGAGCCUGGAGCUCCCUUUAGCGACCGCGGCGGGAAGUGCACAGCUCCGGCAUCCUGCACGGCUCCCGUAUCCUGCACGGCUCCCGCAUCCUGCACGGCUCCCGCAUCCUGCACGGCUCCCGCAUCCUGCACGGCUCCCGCAUCCUGCACGGCUCCCGCAUCCUGCACGGCUCCCGCAUCCUGCACGGCUCCCGCAUCCUGCACGGCUCCCGCAUCCUGCACGGCUCCCGCAUCCUGCACGGCUCCCGCAUCCUGCACGGCUCCCGCAUCCUGCACGGCUCCCGCAUCCUGCACGGCUCCCGCAUCCUGCACGGCUCCCGCAUCCUGCACGGCUCCCGCAUCCUGCACGGCUCCCGCAUCCUGCACGGCUCCCGCAUCCUGCACGGCUCCCGCAUCCUGCACGGCUCCCGCAUCCUGCACGGCUCCCGCAUCCUGCACGGCUCCCGCAUCCUG
rnacentral:lncRNA from 1 species